rnacentral:rRNA from 1 species
GACGAACGCUGGCGGCGUGCUUAACACAUGCAAGUCGAACGGAAAGGCCCUGCUUUUGUGGGGUGCUCGAGUGGCGAACGGGUGAGUAACACGUGAGUAACCUGCCCUUGACUUUGGGAUAACUUCAGGAAACUGGGGCUAAUACCGGAUAGGAGCUCCUGCUGCAUGGUGGGGGUUGGAAAGUUUCGGCGGUUGGGGAUGGACUCGCGGCUUAUCAGCUUGUUGGUGGGGUAGUGGCUUACCAAGGCUUUGACGGGUAGCCGGCCUGAGAGGGUGACCGGCCACAUUGGGACUGAGAUACGGCCCAGACUCCUACGGGAGGCAGCAGUGGGGAAUAUUGCACAAUGGGCGGAAGCCUGAUGCAGCAACGCCGCGUGCGGGAUGACGGCCUUCGGGUUGUAAACCGCUUUCGCCUGUGACGAAGCGUGAGUGACGGUAAUGGGUAAAGAAGCACCGGCUAACUACGUGCCAGCAGCCGCGGUGAUACGUAGGGUGCGAGCGUUGUCCGGAUUUAUUGGGCGUAAAGGGCUCGUAGGUGGUUGAUCGCGUCGGAAGUGUAAUCUUGGGGCUUAACCCUGAGCGUGCUUUCGAUACGGGUUGACUUGAGGAAGGUAGGGGAGAAUGGAAUUCCUGGUGGAGCGGUGGAAUGCGCAGAUAUCAGGAGGAACACCAGUGGCGAAGGCGGUUCUCUGGGCCUUUCCUGACGCUGAGGAGCGAAAGCGUGGGGAGCGAACAGGCUUAGAUACCCUGGUAGUCCACGCUGUAAACGGUGGGUACUAGGUGUGGGGUCCAUUCCACGGGUUCCGUGCCGUAGCUAACGCUUUAAGUACCCCGCCUGGGGAGUACGGCCGCAAGGCUAAAACUCAAAGGAAUUGACGGGGCCCCGCACAAGCGGCGGAGCAUGCGGAUUAAUUCGAUGCAACGCGUAGAACCUUACCUGGGUUUGACAUGGGUCGGGAGUGCUCAGAGAUGGGUGUGCCUCUUUUGGGGUCGGUUCACAGGUGGUGCAUGCCUGUCGUCAGCUCGUGUCGUGAGAUGUUGGGUUAAGUCCCGCAACGAGCGCAACCCUUGUUCACUGUUGCCAGCACGUUAUGGUGGGGACUCAGUGGAGACCGCCGGGGUCAACUCGGAGGAAGGUGGGGAUGACGUCAAGUCAUCAUGCCCCUUAUGUCCAGGGCUUCACGCAUGCUACAAUGGCUGGUACAGAGAGUGGCGAGCCUGUGAGGGUGAGCGAAUCUCGGAAAGCCGGUCUCAGUUCGGAUUGGGGUCUGCAACUCGACCUCAUGAAGUCGGAGUCGCUAGUAAUCGCAGAUCAGCAACGCUGCGGUGAAUAAAUUCCCGGG